CUGAUGUACUUUGAAGUUAGCAGUUCAUCAAGUGUACCAUUCUGGUGCUGGAACAAUUCAUAAAAGAUUUAUAUUCUCCAGAAGCAUUUAUCAUGUAAUGACAAGAACAAUGAAAUGCCCCCUUUUUAAGAAUGUCAUAAAAGAUGAGUUUUCUCUUCAGUACCCAACUACAAUGAAGCUUUAUGAUACAGAUGUUGCAACAUCAAAUAAGGAAUUGCCAAGUGGACAACUGUGUCUUGAUUUGUAUAAAGGACCUUCUACCCACAAAUUCAGUUUGCUGGGAUAGGAAUUUGAAGGUUUUAGCUGGACUUUACAAUUCAUGCUAAGCUCUUGUUUCAGUCAUGCUGCUCAUCUUAAUAAACCCAGUAGCCAGUUAACUAUAUAACCUAGAAAGUUUUUACUGGGGGGGAGAGUUCCUUGUAGGAUUUAAAAAUAUAUAUAUUAGCCACAGCAGUUUAGGGGGAAUUUUACUGAAACUGUUGUACCUUUAUAGUCUCAGGGAGGGGCAGGGAUGUUGGUAGCCUCUCCUCCCAAAUGCAAGCAACCUUACUGAGGUCAGCAGAGCUCAUUGUUUCGUUGCUCAGACAUACAUACUACUUGAAAAAAAAAAUCUUCAUUUCAAUGCAUUUAUUCAAGUACUUGGAGUUGUGCACUCCCUUAGAAGCCUUCCUGAAUGAAAAUUUUGAGAUGACAUUCUUUUGGUUGCCUCUGUCAUUUUCUACUUGGCAGUCCUCUUCCUCACAAAAAUGAUUGGGUUUGCUCUCCAUCAUCUUGGUGAGUAGUUAUAAACAUAUCCACAAGUCUUUGGAUGCCAAUACAAAUGCCAAAAGUGGCAAAAUAAUGGUACUCCAUACUUCUUUAGAUGGCAUUUUCACUUUUAUUGACAAAAUCUUGCUCUUUUCAUCAGCCACACUUGUCCAUUUUGAUUUAUUUUUAUAUGCACAGCUUUUAGCAUCAUAAUGAAAUAUUAUUUACAAAGUUAGAUCCAACUGAACGUAGGUGGAAGUAUCUAGAAAGCAGGAGCACUAUUCAAAGCACUGACUUUAAAAUAUUUAUUAUUUGUGAAACAUAUUCAUUAUUCUUGGCUUGUCUCUGUUCACUGCUGUUAUUUAUCUUAACACAGCCCUCACUUCAGUGUGAACUCAGUCUGCCCUAUAGAAAAAAAAUCUAAAUGCUUUAAAUCACAAUCUCACACUAACAGUAAAAGAUAAUAUCUCCACUUUGUUUCGCCUGCAAAAACGUCUGGGCCAAGAGAACUGCCAAAACUCAUAAAACUCUUACGUUACCUAUUGAUUUAUUGGCAUGAAUCUAUCAUAUCUUUAUAUGAUGUUUACUGGUGUUGACUCCAGUUCAUGCCAACAUUAACUUCCUUUAAUUUUAACUCUCUGUGUGUACUUGGAUAUCUUUUGGUAGUGGAGAUUUUUUUUUAGUUUGGUAUGUUGAUGUUUUUUUGCUGUUGUUUUGUUUUUUGUUUUUUAAAGGAAAUACAAGUCUGUCUUCAAAUUUGGUGUACAGAGAAAUGGAAGAUCUGCUCAGGUUGAUAAGAAUCAUGGAAUCACAGAAACACCAAGAUGGAAAGCUAUUUUCAGAAGUGCUCAACAUUGGCUUAUAUUCUGUGGAAGUCAGCAGUAGAACUCCUACUGACUUUUACUUGGGAGUGGAACUAUGUCAACACUGAAUGGUUUUGAAAAGCACAGCAUGUCAUUUUGACUAAUGCUGCCCAGAUUCUGAAGAAUGAGGCUGUGGUUCCAUGACAAUUGAAGCCUACAUAGAUUGGGAUGACUGCAAAACCAAAUCUUAUCCCUGAAAAAGAUACAUAUUUCCACCAAAUCAGCUUUUGAGAGGACUCAUUAUAUUUUCACAGCCUUCAGAAGAGCUGCUCUAUUUUUUCUCCAGGGACAGCUGAGGAAAGUCUAAGUUAUGUGGUGAAGCUUCCUAUACAAGCAAGGUCAUCUCUUGAUUUUGUAGACCUUGCAAAUGACUUUCAAAGGGGUCUUUCGUUAUGGCCUUGAACUUAUAAAGAGCUUCCUUCUGAUUGCCUCCAUUGUUUCUGGGAAGAAUUGUUUUUGAAUGACCUCCAUCAGCUCCAGCAGGAUGUUGCUGAUUUGCAACCACUGUGCUGCCUUUCUUCUGGCUGGGUUUAGAAGCCAACUGGUUGGGAACAUUUGCAUAGUAAAUCCUUCCCUAACCCCUUAAAGCCAUACAAUCAUUAUCCUAACAAGCAGAUAACAAUAUUCAAUUAUUACAGCUAAACCUGCCAUUGUUGUUAUUUAACCAAUUUUAAUUUACAAGUUGUGUUGUGUCAUGGGUCUAUUUC